UACGUAGGGGGCAAGCGUUGUCCGGAAUCAUUGGGCGUAAAGAGCGUGUAGGCGGCUUGGUAAGUCCGCUGUGAAAGUCCAGGGCUUAACCCUGGAAAGCCAGUGGAAACUGUCAAGCUAGAGUCCGGAAGAGGUGAGUGGAACUCCUGGUGUAGCGGUGAAAUGCGCAGAUAUCAGGAAGAACACCAAUGGCGAAGGCAGCUCACUGGGACGGUACUGACGCUGAGACGCGAAAGCGUGGGGAGCAAACAGG
rnacentral:rRNA from 1 species